GUUAGUUGCUUUAGGUUAGUUGAUUUAGUUGCUUUAGGUUAGUAGAUUUAGUUGCUUUAGGUUAAUUAGUUGAUUUAGGUUAGUUGAUUUAAUUAGUUGCUUUAGGUUAGUACAUUUAGUUACUUUAGGUUAGUUGAUUUAGGUUAGUUGAUUUAGUUGCUUUAGGUAAAUUAGUAGAUUUAGUUGCUUUAGGUUAGUUGAUUUUAGGUUUGUCGGUUUUAGGUUAGUUGAGUUAGUUGCUUUAGGUUAGUAGAUUUAGUUGAUUUAGGUUAGUAGAUUUAGUUGCUUUAAUUAGGUUAGUAGAUUUAGUUGCUUUAAUUAGGUUAGUAGAUUGUAUAUUGUAGGUUAGCUUUUUUUAGGUUAGUAGAUUGUAGGUUAGAUUUUAGGUUAGUUUUUAUAUUAAGAAGAAAAGAAGAAUAAGUUGAAGUGAAGAGGAAAACGGACAAUAAGGAAAAUGAAGAAGAAAAAGAAGAGAAGAAGAAGAAGAAAAAGAAGGAAGAAGAAGAAAAAGAAAAA
rnacentral:lncRNA from 1 species